rnacentral:sRNA from 1 species
GCCAGGCGCAGGGGCGCAUGCCUGUAAUCCUAGAGGCUUGGAGGCUGAGGCAGGAGGAUCAUGAGUUCAAAGCCAGCCUCAG